rnacentral:lncRNA from 1 species
AUGAGUUUUUCCGUAAUUAAUCAUAUUUGAAUAUGUAUAUCAGUAAUAAUAUUUCUUACACAGAAUUUUCUUAUAGAGUACAUUGAAAAAUUUUCAAUUUUUUAUGGCAUGCCACUGAUAAACAGGCAGUUUGUGAUCCAAUUCACUUCGAUUACAUUAUUAUACUGUACUCGAAUCGUUUAUAAGGCUCACAUCACACUUGCCACUUUUGUGCCAUAAAAUUGUUGCCUUCGAUAAACGACUGCAACAAAAACUCAAAUUUUCAGUUACUUCAACACAAUUUUCGCACAUUAAUAUCUGAAUAUUUUUUUGAAUUUUUUAAAAAUAUAAAUCUUGUUUUUCCAGCUUUAUAAUACUGUCGCCAUAAUUAAGGAUAUAAUAGAGCAGGUUCAUGUGAAGAUAACGACUAUCCUAGAUUAGCAUAAUGGUAACAUUGAUGAUAAAACAACUUUUGAUCUACAGACAAUAAAAAAAUGUUAUUAGCUAUUUCUGAUAGAAAAGAUGUUUAUCAGAACAAUGAAUAAACUUCAGCACUAUAUUUUAAGUAUCUUAAAUAUAUUAUGCCAACUAUAAAACGAUCUCUUAAGCUUUUAGAAAAAAUUUUAUGUAAUUUUUUUCAAUAUAAUUUUUAUUUAAAUGCAUUUCCAGUAUAAUGUCAUAAAAAUUUUAUAAUGAAAAAAUUUCGUACCAUAUCCGGCCUCUAGAAAAAGCGGAAUUCAGACAUUGUAAUUUUUGAGAAUUAAAGGUAAGAAACGAAAAGCCAAAACCGUAGAAAAGAAAUUUCGCAACAACUGACGAUGAUAGAAAAGCAGAUCAUGGUUAAAUAUCCAUUAGAAACGUCAGCGUAAGUAUAGCUUGCGAUGUUCUGGCACGUCCUGCAGGCAUAAUUUCGAAUAAGGGCUCAAACGGGUAUUUUCUAGUUGGGAUGUUCAAGUUUAUAGAAUGCGAAUAAUUUUUACACAUUUAUUAAAUUUUUUAUAUUUUACUAUUGAAUAUUUUAUCAAACAAAAUCAUUAAUAUUUGUAUAAAAUUAAAUUCGGCAAAUUUCAAAAUAAAAAUUAAUGCAAAAAAAUUAAUUGAAUAAUUAUAUCUUCGUUUUGUAUCAGGAGCAUCGAAACCAUCGAUCAGAAAAGUUCUACUUUUCUGAUCGAUGGUUUGUUGUAAGCUAGUACGAAGGUUUAGCAGUCAUUUAGUUGCCAGCGUGUGCUCCUCCAUACAAAUUAUAUUGAUGAAUCUUCCACUCGUCACGCAACUGCGACAGGUUGCAACGUUUUUUGUCGUGCCGUAUAAGUGUGCACGUUCACGUAAACCGUUAAUGCAUUUUAUUCCAGUGACUAAACCGUUGAGCGACUAAAAGUCACCAAAAUAUUACUGUGUAGUUAUGAAAGCUAAACAUAAAUUUUAGCAAAUCACGUUUCAAUGUGUCAAUAAUUAGUAAGCAUUUCUCUUUAAAAAGUACUGCUACUAAUUUAACAACAAAUCUUUUUUUUUUAGAUAACAGAAUUUGAACACUAUAUGAUGUUAUGUAAAAUGAAAUAUUUCGAUGUAUAUACUUCAUAUUACUUUAAGCGCACAAGAGAGAUACCAGAUGUGCGUGUUAUUCCGUCAUUCAAUAUUACAUGACGUGAAAUUUAUUUUAUAGCAGUAAUAUCGAAUUUGAAGAUCUACGACAUUAAUGUGGGUAAUAAAAAUUUAAAAAUAGAUUUUUUCAUAAUUUCGCGAUACUGAAAAAGAAUUUUUAAAUCGCAAAACUACGAAAAACGCUGAACAUUUGGAAAUUCUUGAUAUUAAAACGUAUAUAUUUUUUAUUUAGUCGAUUAAUUGUAUUAGAUUACGAUUUUUAUACUAAAUCGAUGUUAAAAUUGCGCUUGGAGCGCUCUAGCGCGCAAUUAGUUCUAGGAAUUGAAAUAAGUUUUUGAUUAAUCGAUAAAUCUGUUGGUCGCAUUAAAAGAUUGUCGUGGAAAGGUUAUCGACAAGGAAAAGAAUGAUCGAUAGAAAAAUUUAUAGACUGAAUUUGACCCAAAAUUGGUCACGGCAGGAGUUUUUAAUCUAGAAAUUCGAUUCACUGAAGUCUUAUCACAGUGGUGUUCAACCUUUUUUGUUAUGCGAGCUACUUUUCUAUAUUAAGUUAUUCGGCGAUCUAGUCUCUCCCAACCUG